UCCACACCGUCCUCUCCUCGGAUCCCCAACGAGUCAUCGCCAAAGAAGGGCCGAGCGACCGCGACCAUCAGCCUUCCAGCGCUCCUUACUCUCGCAUCUCGCGCGAGCAGGAGCAGUCCAUCAUCAUCGCCUCACUGAUCCACGUCGUCUCCGGCCACCCCCCGGAGGUCCCACUUGCCAGCACCUGCGGUGUAUGCGGCAUUGCCGGAUGCCUGGGCUGCGACUUCUUCGUCUCCGCCGCGGAUAACGAGGACGCGACGCCGCCUGCAACCUCGGAGAUCACUGAUGGGAGUGGCGAGAUGCAGGUAAGGAGGAGGAAGAAGAAGAACAAGUACCGAGGCGUGCGACAACGGCCGUGGGGGAAGUGGGCGGCGGAGAUACGCGACCCCAGGCGGGCGGUGCGGAAGUGGCUGGGGACGUUCAACACCGCGGAGGAGGCGGCGCGGGCGUACGACAUGGCCGCCAUCGAGUUCCGUGGUGCGAGGGCCAAGCUCAACUUUCCUUUCCCGGAGCAACCUCCGGCGCUAGGCGGAGACCAGGGGACUAGCCAGUCCACCUCGCUGUCUUCU
rnacentral:lncRNA from 1 species